AUGGGGUCUCAGGCUCAGCUGUUCUGCCUCCUGCUUCUCUGGAUCCCAAGUUCCAGAGGGGCCAUUGGGGUGACCCAGUCUCCAGCCUCCCUGGCAGUGUCUCCAGAAGAGAAGGUCACCCUGUCCUUCAGGGCCAGUCAGAGCAUUAAUGAUCACAUACACUGGUUCCAACAGCUCCCAGGCCAGGCUCCCAGGCCCCUCAUUUACUGGGCUUCCAACCUACACUCUGGGGUCCCUGCCCGGUUCAGUGGCAGUGGCUCUGGGACAGAUUACUCUCUUACCAUCAGUGCUGUGGAACCAGAGGAAAUCACAGACUAUUACUGA